UGCUUUUUGCACUAAUAAAAAGUAAUCUCCUGCCCAGUGAUAAUUAUUUAACGGCCGCGGUAUUUUAACCGUGCAAAGGUAGCAUAAUAACUUGUCCAUUAAUUGUGGACUAGAAUGAAAGGGGUAACGAAAUAAGAACUGUCUCAACUAAACCACUAAAAACUAUCAUUUAAGUGAAGAGACUUAAAUUCAAAUAAAGGACAAGAAGACCCUAUAGAGCUUCAUAAAUGCCAUAUAAAAUAUGAGCAACUAUUCGGUUGGGGCGACCAAGGAAUAUUCAUCCUCUAAUUUUAAGAUUAAUACAUCAAUUAAAUGAUCCUUUAAAAGAUUUAUAAAACAAGCUACCUUAGGGAUAACAGGCUAAUCCUACUAUAGAGCCCUUAUCGACAGUAGGGAUUGGCACCUCGAUGUUGGCUUAGAGAAUCUGUGUGGUCGCAAAAGUCACAAUAAGAAGGUUUGUUCAACCUAGUAAUACUC
rnacentral:rRNA from 1 species